AACGAACGUUAGCGGCGCGCUUAACACAUGCAAGUCGAGCGAGAAGGGGGCAACCCCGGUAAAGCGGCGUACGGGUGAGUAACACGUAGGUAAUCUACCUCGAGGUGGUGGAUAACCUUCCGAAAGGAGGGCUAAUACAGCAUGAGACCACGCCUUCGAAAGAGGGUGAGGUAAAAGCGGGCCUCUCUACAGAAGCUCGCGCCACGAGAUGAGCCUGCGGCCCAUCAUGGUAGUUGGUAGGGUAACGGCCUACCAAGCCGAAGACGGGUAGCUGGUCUGAGAGGAUGAUCAGCCACACUGGAACUGAGACACGGUCCAGACUCCUACGGGAGGCAGCAGUGGGGAAUCUUGCGCAAUGGGCGAAAGCCUGACGCAGCGACGCCGCGUGAGUGAU
rnacentral:rRNA from 1 species